rnacentral:rRNA from 1 species
CAUGCAGGCGGUUAGACAAGUCAGAUGUGAAAUCCCCGCGCUUAACGUGGGCAUUGCAUCUGAAACUAUGUAGCUAGAGUUCUGUAGAGGGGGGUAGAAUUCCAGGUGUAGCGGUGAAAUGCGUAGAGAUCUGGAGGAAUACCGAUUGCGAAGGCAGCCCCCUGGACAGUGACUGACGCUCAUAUGCGAAAGCGUGGGGAUCAAACAGGAUUAGAUACCCUGU